GGGUUCAUCAGUUGGUCGGGCUUUUUGGUCUGUACUGGCGUGAUGGAUUCCUACCUUCUGAAUAACCGGAAUGUCAUUAAUUUGGUGUCGUGGGGAAUCAGGACUGUUACUUUGAAAAAAUUAGAGUGUUUAAAGCAGGCUCACGCUUGAAUACAUUAGCAUGGAAUAAUGAAAUAGGACGUUCGAUCCUAUUUUGUUGGUUUCUAGGAUUGACGUA
rnacentral:rRNA from 1 species